rnacentral:rRNA from 1 species
UGGGGAAUAUUGCGCAAUGGGGGGAACCCUGACGCAGCCAUGCCGCGUGAAUGAAGAAGGCCUUAGGGUUGUAAAGUUCUUUCGGUAUUGAGGAAGGUUGAUGUGUUAAUAGCACAUCAAAUUGACGUUAAAUACAGAAGAAGCACCGGCUAACUCCGUGCCAGCAGCCGCGGUAAUACGGAGGGUGCGAGCGUUAAUCGGAAUAACUGGGCGUAAAGGGCACGCAGGCGGUUAUUUAAGUGAGGUGUGAAAGCCCCGGGCUUAACCUGGGAAUUGCAUUUCAGACUGGGUAACUAGAGUACUUUAGGGAGGGGUAGAAUUCCACGUGUAGCGGUGAAAUGCGUAGAGAUGUGGAGGAAUACCGAAGGCGAAGGCAGCCCCUUGGGAAUGUACUGACGCUCAUGUGCCAAAGCGUGGGGAGCAAACAGGAUUAGAUACCCUGGUAGUCCACGCUGUAAACGCUGUCGAUUUGGGGGUUGGGGUUUAACUCUGGCGCCCGUAGCUAACGUGAUAAAUCGACCGCCUGGGGAGUACGGCCGCAAGGUUA